rnacentral:rRNA from 1 species
CGCAGCCGCGGUAAUUCCAGCUCCAAUAGCGUAUAUUAAAGUUGUUGCAGUUAAAAAGCUCGUAGUUGAAUUUCGGGGUUAGUAGGUUGGUCAUGCCUCUGGUAUGUACUGGUCUCACUGAUUCCUCCUUCCUGAUGAACCUUAAUGCCAUUUAUUUGGUGUUUUGGGAAUUUGGACUGUUACUUUGAAAAAAUUAGAGUGUUUAAAGCAAGCUAACGCUUGAAUACAUUAGCAUGGAAUAAUGAAAUAGGACGUUCGAUCCUAUUUUGUUGGUUUCUAGGAUUGACGUAAUGAUUAAUAGGGAUAGUUGGGGGCAUUAGUAUUCAAUUGUCAGAGGUGAAAUUCUUGGAUUUAUUGAAGACUAACUACUGCGAAAGCAUUUGCCAAGGAUGUUUCAUUAAUCAAGAACGAAAGUUAGGGAUCGAAGACGAUCAGAUACCGUCGUAGUCUUAACCAUAAACUAUGCCGACUAGGGAUCGGAUGAUGUUAAUUUUUAAUGUACCCAUUCGGCGCCUUACGGGAAACCAAAGUGUUUGGGUUCGG